UAUGGACUGACCAGGUACCUGGAUGGA
rnacentral:piRNA from 1 species